rnacentral:rRNA from 1 species
UACGGAGGAUGCAAGCGUUAUCCGGAAUGAUUGGGCGUAAAGCGUCCGCAGGUGGCAAUGUAAGUCUGCUGUCAAAGCGUCUGGCUCAACCAGAUAAAGGCAGUGGAAACUACAUAGCUAGAGUAAGGUAGGGGUAGAGGGAAUUCCUGGUGUAGCGGUGAAAUGCGUAGAGAUCAGGAAGAACACCAGCGGCGAAGGCGAGUAGCUGGGCCAACACUGACGCUGAGGUGCGAAAGCUAGGGUAGCAAACGGG